CCCAAGCUCCAGUUUUUGAGAAGCCAAAAGGAGGGAGCACCAGGCUUCCUUCCAACCAGUGGUGCUGGUAUCCUCCAAGUUUCUUCCUCCAGGCCACCUGUGGAUAUGCCAUCCAGAAACCAGUCCAGCCCAGCCAAGAUGAUGACCUGUCCCCUUAUACGCUGCUCAAAGACUACCAGAACUUUCCCAGGAUUGAGAGGGUUGAUGACAUUGGGAAAAGACACUUGUCUUUGGAAAUGGCCAACCAGGAGAAAAGAUCUGCAGUUAUGAAAAACACAUGCUGACAUAUUGAAAGGACAAAGCCCACAAAUGCUAUCUGCUGAUAAGCAUCAACCAGAGGAAAAAGAUGCUCAAAAACCUCCACAAAACCUAUUAUGACAACUCUGGGAAGACAUGCAGGGAACUGGGGACUGAAGACACCUUUCCCCUCUGAAUUACCAAACAGCCCACUGACCGUCGCUUCUGACUAAGAAGGCUCUGUGAAUUCAGGUUUUCCAGAAUGUGCAAAAGCUGAAGAAACAAAAAA
rnacentral:lncRNA from 10 species